UUUGGCCAAAGCCCAUAAUCCUU
rnacentral:snRNA from 1 species